GCGACCGGCGCACGGGUGAGUAACGCGUAUGCAAUCUACCUUAUACUGAGGGAUAGCCCGAAGAAAUUCGGAUUAAUACCUCAUAGUAUUAUCGAACUGCAUAGUUUGAUAAUUAAAGCUCCGGCGGUAUAAGAUGAGCAUGCGUCCCAUUAGCUAGAUGGUAAGGUAACGGCUUACCAUGGCAACGAUGGGUAGGGGGCCUGAGAGGGUGGUCCCCCACACUGGUACUGAGACACGGACCAGACUCC
rnacentral:rRNA from 1 species